GGUGCACAAGAGUCCCCGCCCCUUUCGGUGCGUGACGGUGGAGGAACCGAGGGCUCGCGUCCUCUGUGCUGGCGUCCGCCACCCUUAAGUCCAACGCAAAGAACGGGAAGAAACAGAUCUGGAGUUCUUGCUCGACAGGGUAGUGCUGCUGCCACCGGCCCGUCCUAGCGCCAUGCGUAAACCUGGGGCUCGUUGUGAACGGUGCCGCUGCGUGCGGCCCCUCUCGCCAGGCACGGGCCUCGCCACUUCUCGGGGGUCGUCGCACCGUCCUGCUCAGGCUUUUGAGGAUUGAAGCCCCUAAGCCGCGCCCUUUGGCAAGGCACCGCCCACUGAGGCCUCGGCCACUCAGUCCAGUCUUUGAGGCACCCGCUCUGGGAGCUCCGAAGGGAGAGGGCAAGGCCAGGGUUUGAGACUGAGGCCGUUACACGGAAAACACGCUUCCUCGUUCUGAUGCCAGCAGCUUGCAGAUCGUUAAUGCUGGAGCGGGAGGCAAGAAUGUCACAGACCUUUUCCGGGUGUUUGUCAAGAGGAAAAACUCAGCUGGAAACCAGAGUGCCUAUUCAUAAACCCAUUGCUGUGGCCCAGACAAGUGAAUUUCUCUGAACAGAGAGGAAGGAGAAGAAGAGUAGAUCCAAGGGACAAAUGGAAGAUAUCCAACACAAUAAUAAAAA